rnacentral:rRNA from 1 species
UACAGAGGGUGCGAGCGUUUGUUCGGAAUUAUUGGGCGUAAAGCGCGUGUAGGCGGCUCGGUAAGUCUGCUGUGAAAGUCCAAGGCUCAACCUUGGAAAGCCGGUGGAUACUGUCGAGCUCGAGUCCGGAAGAGGCGAGUGGAAUUCCUGGUGUAGCGGUGAAAUGCGCAGAUAUCAGUGAGAACACCAGUGGCGAAGGCAGCUCGCUGGGACGGUACUGACGCUGAGACGCGAAAGCGUGGGGAGCAAACAGG